GGCAGCCCGAGUGUCCCCGCCGGCGCCGCCGCAGCGCGGACAUGCUGGGAGCCCUGGGGGGCGUCAGGGCCAGCGCGCUCGCAAGACCUCUCGUCGCCGGAGUCCUAAGUUCGAGAACUGCCUCUAGACCCGAGUCCGACAAGAACGCGUCCUGGCAUGUUUGACUCUCCUCCGAGCUUUUUGCCCUGGGGAGGGGUGUCCCAGGACGUGUGUCAGCCGCAUUAAUUGAAGCGCUCGCGGUGGAAAGGCAUCAAUUAAUCAGGAGGAACUAUCCCCAAGCAUCUGGACUGGCAUAGAAAAGAGGAGAAAAAACAUUUAAAAGCUCCUCUUUUUAGACUGCUCGACUCUGGAUCUUUGGUUUGAUUUUAAAACUAUUGUCAUA